AUUGAACGCUGGCGGCAGGCCUAACACAUGCAAGUCGAGCGGAUGAAGGGAGCUUGCUCCUGGAUUCAGCGGCGGACGGGUGAGUAAUGCCUAGGAAUCUGCCUGGUAGUGGGGGAUAACGUCCGGAAACGGGCGCUAAUACCGCAUACGUCCUGAGGGAGAAAGUGGGGGAUCUUCGGACCUCACGCUAUCAGAUGAGCCUAGGUCGGAUUAGCUAGUUGGUGGGGUAAAGGCCUACCAAGGCGACGAUCCGUAACUGGUCUGAGAGGAUGAUCAGUCACAAUGGAACUGAGACACGGUCCAGACUCCUACGGGAGGCAGCAGUGGGGAAUAUUGGACAGUGGGCGAAAGCCUGAUCCAGCCAUGCCGCGUGUGUGAAGAAGGUCUUCGGAUUGUAAAGCACUUUAAGUUGGGAGGAAGGGCAGUAAGUUAAUACCUUGCUGUUUUGACGUUACCAACAGAAUAAGCACCGGCUAACUUCGUG
rnacentral:rRNA from 1 species